rnacentral:rRNA from 1 species
AUUGAACGCUGGCGGCAUGCUUUACACAUGCAAGUCGGACGGCAGCACAGAGAAGCUUGCUUCUUGGGUGGCGAGUGGCGAACGGGUGAGUAACAUAUCGGAACGUACCGAGCAGUGGGGGAUAACUAAUCGAAAGAUUAGCUAAUACCGCAUAUCUUCUGAGGAAGAAAGCAGGGGACCAUUUGGCCUUGCGCUGUUUGAGCGGCCGAUAUCUGAUUAGCUAGUUGGUGGGGUAAAGGCCUACCAAGGCGACGAUCAGUAGCGGGUCUGAGAGGAUGAUCCGCCACACUGGGACUGAGACACGGCCCAGACUCCUACGGGAGGCAGCAGUGGGGAAUUUUGGACAAUGGGCGCAAGCCUGAUCCAGCCAUGCCGCGUGUCUGAAGAAGGCCUUCGGGUUGUAAAGGACUUUUGUCAGGGAAGAGAAGGGCGGGGUUAAUACCCCUGUCUGAUGACGGUACCUGAAGAAUAAGCACCGGCUAACUACGUG